GCCAGCUGUAGAAAAAUCUCCUCCAGCUUAUAUACAAGUACCAGUAAUGGAAUGCACAUGAUGUAUAGAACCACACAAUCUCUCAAAACUAAGUACGGCCAAGUUGUGGAAACAAACGAAAUAGGACAUUGCCCUAUCAAUUUGAUGUGUGGAGGCAUAUCAUCAAUGCAAGGUAGAACUAACAUGCAAGUGUAGCAACAG
rnacentral:misc_RNA from 1 species